rnacentral:rRNA from 1 species
CCCUUUUGGGCCCCCUUUUUUUUUUUGGAAAAUUUAAAACCCUUGGGGUUCCCGGAAAUUUUUCCUUUUGGGGAAAGGGUUUUAAAUUUGGGGGAAAAAAAGGGAAAAGGGGGGUUUAAAAAAAGGGUUGGGGGGAAAAUUUUUUCCCCCCCGGAAAGGUUUGGUUUAAAGGAAGGGGGUUGGGAAAAAAAUUUUUUCGGGUUAAGGAAAUUAAUUUUCGGGGAGGGGAAAACCCACCCCCAAGUUGGGGCCGGAAAGGGGCCGGGGCUUUUAACUUGGGGUUCCCCAAUUUACUUGGAACCGGCUUGGAAAGUUGGCGGAAAAAGGGCGUGGGGGGGAGGCCAAACAAGGGAUUUAGGAUUACCCCCUUGGUUAGUCCCACCGCCCCGUUAAAAGCGGAUUGAAAUUGUUUAGGCCGUUCGGGGGCAAGUUAUACCUGUUUUCGGUGGGCGCCAAGCUUAAACCGCAUUUAAAACAUUUCCGGCCUGGGGGGAGUUACGGUCGCAAAGAUUUAAAAACUCAAAAGGAAUUUGAACGGGGGCCCCGCACAAGGCGGUGGAGCAUGUGGUUUAAUUUCGAAGCAACGCGCAGAACCUUACCAGCCCUUGAAUCCUGUGUUACCGUAGAGAUAU